rnacentral:rRNA from 1 species
GACAGAGGUGCCGAGCGUUAGGCGGAAUCACUGGGCUUAAAGCGUGUGUAGGCGGACCGUUAAGUACCUUGUGAAAUCCCCCGGCUCAACCGGGGAACGGCUGGGUAUACUGGUUGUCUUGAGCCAGCUAGGGGCGAGCGGAACAGACGGUGGAGCGGUGAAAUGCGUAGAUAUCGUCUGGAACGCCGAAGGUGAAAACAGCUCGCUGGGGCUGCGCUGACGCUGAGACACGAAAGCCAAGGGAGCGAACGGG